ACGGAAAGUGCAUGAAUUUACCCCAUUACGACGACGGAAAUAAUCACCCACUGGACGAAUUUCUCGCCGGAACGGCCCGUAACUGCAUCAACAACGUCUUGCAACGAGGACAGUGUAAAUCGUCCCAAUAGGUGCGCCGGAUAACCGCGACGGAGCCAGGGAAUUCCGUUAUCAUCGUGCAGUGUGCGGAGGGGAUAAAGCGUUUCGUCGAAAGAUCUCAGGAAGUGUUCGUGCUACCAAGAAGGUAUCGAUCGUGGUUCGAGUAUACGGCUUCAAGUCGUUUUCCGUAAAACCGCAUAGGGUAACUGCGACAAUUGUCGGCACGGGCAAAGGCCUAGGCGAGAGCCAAUCGUUUCGUACGGAUAGCAAUUGGAAGCGCUCUCACCAUGGCCCACCGAAAUCAGCUUAGGUGCUACAAGGGGCAAACUCCGCAGCCGAGGCAAAACGUGUGGCUGGGAGUCGGUACGGGUGGUAGAGAUGCUAUGAUCGAAGAACGAACUGGAAUUGAAGAACGACACGAAGAGGACACCGAAGAAGUCAACGCUGGAAGCGGCUCUGAAGAUGAACCAUUCAGGGGAUUCCCUAUGGUUCCGGCAAAGGUCAGGAAGCGAAACGCGACAUUGGCGAACUUGCCGAACGCGUGUCCACGGCGAUCGAAAAGAAUCCGCAAGCGAACGGUAGAUCCAGAUUACGUGUAUUCUUAAUGUAUAAGUUUCAAGUGAUGAAAUUUCGAGACAGUGAAUUAUCUGAAUUAUUUUUCAUUGAAUUUUGUUAUUUUGUAUUAUAUUUGAAAAUGUUCAACUUCUGAUUCUAUUACACGAAUACUAAUGUAUUAAUUAAAAGGGGGAACAGCUGUUGUGUCACCCACACUAUCUAUGUAUAAAUAUGUAUAUACCUGUAAACGUAUAAGACUUUGAUACAAACGUCAAACGUUCGUAAAACGAAUCACCUCGUGCUUGCGAGGUACCAAAUAAAGAUUAUUCGUCCUCUUUCCCAUUGGACCAGCAACGAAGCCACACGU